GAAGUUUUCUACUAUAUUGUACGUAUAUCGAAUGUCGACAGCUGGUAGUGAUGGCCUUUGGCUACUUUCAGUAUGCUCCGAAUUUUACUGCGAUACGGUGUAAUUUAUUUUUUAUGCAGACAAAUGCAUGAUCCACUCUCCGUGAUUUUCCGUAAUAGACUGCGCGAUAAAUGAAAGAUCACUCGUGGAAUGUACAGAAAAAUUUAUAAAUAUCAUCGAAAAAGAUUUGAUUUAUCGUGGCAGUGCUGAUAAAUAUGAAUUUGCAAACACUUUUCCAAGAUUUCAAUCCAAGCAAAUUUUUAGUGUACUCAUGUUUGAUGAUAUUUACUGCUUUGUUCGCUCUUCGAUUGGAUGGUUUCAUAGAAUGGAGCUACUGGACAAUAUUUAGCCCAAUUUGGUUUUGGAAAGGUAUGGUAAUAUUGGGUGCUACCAUUGGAAGUUACGUAUGGUGGAGACAUCCACAUUCGAGAUUGGAAGGAGAUGCCUAUGUUCAUUAUAAGGCUAUGUUGAUUACUUUGGCAUUACAUUUGAUCUUGUUAAUGUUCGAAUUAUUAGUAUGUGACAAACUGGAGUCUGAUAGGCAUUUAUGGAUAUUAGUGUUUAUACCACUGAUUUUCAUCUCUGUUGUAUCUAUAGCUGUUUGCAUUUGGGCUGUGAAACACGAUAGGUCUUUUGAACUUGAACUCUUCUGUGCAGUCAAUGUAUUACAAUUUAUUUUCUUGGCACUAAGAUUAGAUGGCUUUAUAACUUGGAGUUGGGAGGUGGUAUUUGUACCUCUUUGGGCACUUCUUUGUUUGUCUCUAGUUGCUGUUCUAUAUGCGAUAGUGUUUGCUGCUGUUUUAUUAAGAACACCUCAAAUUAAUGCAAGGCAAAGGCGGACAUCUUUAAAUUCAGCGCUAGCAUAUACAUUUCUCGUGGUUCCAAUUUUAGUAUUUCAAGUACUGUUAGCGAAUAAAUUGGAUGGUGACAUUUCUCUAAAUUAUACGACAGUGGCAAUGCCUCUUCUCAUAUCUCACAUGACACUUAUCUUCAUGUCUUUUGGAGCGAAAGGAGGAAAUAGAUGGUGGUUUGGUAUUAGAAAGGACUUCUGCCAUUUUCUGUUAAGCCUAUGUCCAUUGCUUCAAGAAUAUGGUAACAUUUCUUAUCAACCAAGAGGUGAUCAAGAUCAACCACCAUCUGAACCAAUGGUUAGUGAAAAGAAUGAGAAACACAUCAAGAAAAUCGACCUAACAAAACCUGUAGUGCCUAUAAUUUCCAUAGACAUACCUGAUUGAUCAAGUUGGCCUAGAAUUUAUCUUGAACAUUAAUACAUUCUCUUCAAUGUUACUGGUUGGUUCACAUACCACGUAUGUAACAUGAAAUAGAGAGGUACUUCAUGAGGCUUAAAAACAAAGAGAUUGGAUUUACUGGCUGGGAUACAAGACUGAGCACCUCGCAUCUUUAGAAUAAUAUUGGCAAGAUAUAAAAAUGAAAAGAUUACAUAUAUAUAAAUUUAGAAAAUAAUAAUCGGAAACAACUGUUAACGUUUUAGAAAUCGUUUAAAUGCCCGAUCAUUCUUCUGUUAUAUUGUAGAAAAAUGUACAAACCUCGUUGCAUUACAAUAAUAUUGUGUAUGUAUGUGCGCGCGCGUGUGUGUGUAUUAUAUUAGAUACUGUAUAAUAUAUAUAUACACAUAUAUAUUAUACAUAUCAGCUACGAACGAUGGUUACAAUGAAUAAUUAGUGAUAUUAUUUUAUUUUAUAUAUAUAUUACAUAUUAAGUCCAUUAUAAUCUAAUAAAGUUUAUAUUUUUUGAUAUCAA